GACGAACGCUGGCGGCGGGCUUAACACAUGCAAGUCGAACGGAAAGGCCCUGCUUUUGUGGGGUUCUCGAGUGGCGAACGGGUGAGUAACACGUGAGUAACCUGCUCUUGACUUUGGGAUAACUUCAGGAAACUGGGGCUAAUAUCGUAUAGGAGCUCCUGCUGCAUGGUGGGGGUUGGAAAGUCUGGGCGGUUGGGGAUGGACUCGCGGCUUAUCAGCUUGUUGGUGGGGUAGUGGCUGACCAAGGCUUUGACGGGUCGGCGGCCUGAGAGGGUGACCGGCCACAUUGGGACUGAGAUACGGACCAGACGCCUACGGGGGGCAGCAGUGGGGAAUAUUGCACAGUGGGCGGAAGCCUGAUGCAGAAGCGCCGCGUGCGGGAUGACGGCCUGCGGGUUGUAAACAGCUUUCGCCUGUGACGAAGCGUGAGUGACGGUACUGGGUGAAGAAGCACCGGCUAACUACGUG
rnacentral:rRNA from 1 species